AACUUUUGACAACGGAUCACUUGGCUCUCGCAUCGAUGAAGAACGCAGCGAAUUGCGAUACGUAAUGUGAAUUGCAGAGUUUCAGUGAAUCAUCGAAUCUUUGAACGCACCUUGCGCUCCUUGGUAUUCCGAGGAGCAUGCCUGUUUGAGUGUCAUCGAAUUCUCAACCAUCCGUUGAUUGAUUUCGAGGGGUGGCUUGGAUCUUGGGAGUUGCCGGCUGACCGCUGUGGGUCGGGUGGGCUCUGCUUAAAAGCAUUAGCGAAAGGCGGCAAGGCCCCUGCAUGCACGGCCUUCGACGUGAUAAUGAUCGUCGUGGGUGGAGUGCGAGGCGUAGAUCGACCUGUGCUUCCAAACAAAUUCGUACGGGGGGACGAGGCUUCGGCGGACGACCCUUUACGUUUUCUGACGCUUGACCUCAAAUCAGGUAGGACUACCCGCUGAACUUAAGCAUAUCAAUAAGCGGAGGCU
rnacentral:misc_RNA from 1 species